AUUGAACGCUGGCGGCAGGCCUAACACAUGCAAGUCGAGCGAGCGGCGGACGGGUGAGUAAUGUCUGGGAAACUGCCUGAUGGAGGGGGAUAACUACUGGAAACGGUAGCUAAUACCGCAUACCAUCAGAUGUGCCCAGAUGGGAUUAGCUAGUAGGUGGGGUAACGGGUCACCUAGGCGACGCUCCCUAGCUGGUCUGAGAGGAUGACCAGCCACACUGGAACUGAGAAACGGGCACGAUUCCGACGGGAGGCAGCAGGGGGGAAUAUUGGACAAUGGGCGCAAGACUGAUGCAGCCAUGCCGCGGGUGUGAAGAAGGCCUUCGGGUUGUAAAGCACUUUCAGCGGGGAGGCGUUACCCGCAGAAGAAGCACCGGCUAACUCCGUGCCAGCAGCCGCGGUAAUAC
rnacentral:rRNA from 1 species